AUUGAACGCUGGCGGCAGGCUUAACACAUGCAAGUCGAGCGGUAGAGAGGUGCUUGCACCUCUUGAGAGCGGCGGACGGGUGAGUAAUGCCUAGGAAUCUGCCUGGUAGUGGGGGAUAACGCUCGGAAACGGACGCUAAUACCGCAUACGUCCUACGGGAGAAAGCAGGGGACCUUCGGGCCUUGCGCUAUCAGAUGAGCCUAGGUCGGAUUAGCUAGUUGGUGAGGUAAUGGCUCACCAAGGCGACGAUCCGUAACUGGUCUGAGAGGAUGAUCAGUCACACUGGAACUGAGACACGGUCCAGACUCCUACGGGAGGCAGCAGUGGGGAAUAUUGGACAAUGGGCGAAAGCCUGAUCCAGCCAUGCCGCGUGUGUGAAGAAGGUCUUCGGAUUGUAAAGCACUUUAAGUUGGGAGGAAGGGUCGUUACCUAAUACUCUGGGAUAGUGGACGUUACUCGCAGAAUAAGCACCGGCUAACUCUGUGCCAGCAGCCGCAGUAACAC
rnacentral:rRNA from 1 species